UAGGGAAUCUUCGGCAAUGGGGGGAACCCUGACCGAGCAACGCCGCGUGAGUGAAGAAGGUUUUCGGAUCGUAAAGCUCUGUUGUUAAGGAAGAACGAGUGUGAGAAUGGAAAGUUCAUGCUGUGACGGUACUUAACCAGAAAGGGACGGCUAACUACGUGCCAGCAGCCGCGGUAAUACGUAGGUCCCGAGCGUUGUCCGGAUUUAUUGGGCGUAAAGCGAGCGCAGGCGGUUAGAAAAGUCUGAAGUGAAAGGCAGUGGCUCAACCAUUGUAGGCUUUGGAAACUGUUUAACUUGAGUGCAGAAGGGGAGAGUGGAAUUCCAUGUGUAACGGUGAAAUGCGUAGAUAUAUGGAGGAACACCAGUGGCGAAGGCGACUCUCUGGUCUGUAACUGACGCUGAGGCUCGAAAGCGUGGGUAGCAAACAGG
rnacentral:rRNA from 1 species